rnacentral:rRNA from 1 species
CCUACGGGAGGCAGCAGUGGGGGAUUUUGGACAAUGGGCGAAAGCCUGAUCCAGCGACGCCGCGUGGAGGACGAAGCCCUUCGGGGUGUAAACUCCUUUUCUCAGGGAAAAAGGAUGAUGGUACCUGAGGAAUAAGCCCCGGCUAACUACGUGCCAGCAGCCGCGGUAAU